CAUCGCAUUUUAUAGAGAUUUAAUAUAAUUCAUAUUUAAAAAUGUCACCUAUCAAAAUUCAAACCUGGUUUCUAAUUGAUAUUGCUGUUUGCUUACUUUUUGCUAAUCUACUGUCGGCUGCUGAUAUACCACCGCCUGGUAAGUUAAUGUUUCUUCUUCUUCUAAGCUUAAUUUUAU